ACCGGCAGCUCAAGUGGUGGCCAUUAUUAUUGGGCCUAAAGCGUUCGUAGCCGGUUUGAUAAGUCUCUGGUGAAAUCCCGCAGCUUAACUGUGGGACUUGCUGGAGAUACUAUCAGACUUGAGGUCGGGAGAGGUUAGGGGUACUCCCAGUGUAGGGGUGAAAUGCUAGAAUCUUGGGAGGAACACCAGUGGCGAAGGCGACUUACUGGAAUGAACCUGACGGUGAGUAGCGAAAGUGAGUGGAGCGAAAAG
rnacentral:rRNA from 1 species